UAGGGAAUAUUAGUAAUGGGCGAAAGCCUGAACUAGCAACACCGCGUGUGCGAAGAAGGCCUUCGGGUUGUAAAGCACUUUUUGAGAGGAUGAGGAAGGACGGUACUCUCAGAAUAAGUCUCGGCUAACUACGUGCCAGCAGCCGCGGUAACACGUAGGAGGCAAACGUUAUCCGGAUUUACUGGGCGUAAAGCGCGUGUAGGUGGUUUGGUAAGUAGAGCGUGAAAGCUCCUGGCUCAACUGGGAGAGGUCGUUCUAAACUGCCGGACGAGAGGAUGGCAGAGGGAGGUGGAAUUCCGGGUGUAGCGGUGGAAUGCGCAGAUAUCCGGAGGAACACCAGUGGCGAAAGCGGCCUCCUGGACCACUCCUGACACUCAGACGCGAAUGCUAGGGUAGCAAACG
rnacentral:rRNA from 1 species